UGCGUAGGCGGGGCAAUUAGUCAGUGGUGAAAUCCUGCGGCUUAACCGUAGAAUUGCCAUUGAUACUGUUGCCCUUGAGUAUAGUUGAAGUGGGCGGAAUAUGUAAUGUAGCGGUGAAAUGCAUAGAGAUUACAUAGAACACCAAUUGCGAAGGCAGCUCACUAAGCUAUUACUGACGCUGAGGCACGAAAGCGUGGGGAGCGAACAGGAUUAGAUACCCUGGUAGUC
rnacentral:rRNA from 1 species